rnacentral:lncRNA from 1 species
CAGCGGCCCCCGGGGCUGCCUCAGAUUGUUUCAGAAAGAUUGCUUCAACAACAGAAGAUAGAGAUGGGAAGAGAAUGGUGGGGGACGUGGUAGCAAAGAAGCUAUUCCAAUGAUCCAACCUCAAGAUCAUGCAAAUGUGAACUAAAGCAAUGGCAUCAGGAUGGAGCAGAGAAGAUGGACUGGAGAGAGUUUUAGGAGAUGGAGGAAGGUAGCCUGGGCCCAACUGAACUCACUGUGUAUUCAGAAAAUAACCCACAGUUGGGAAAUUCACAGUGCCAUU